UCUUCAGUAGUAUAGUGGUUAGUAUCCCCGCCUGUCACGCGGGAGACCGGGGUUCGAUUCCCCGCUGGAGAG